rnacentral:rRNA from 1 species
AACCGUGCAAAGGUAGCGUAAUCAUUUGUCUAUUAAUUGUAGACCAGUAUGAAAGGCACAAUGAGGAUCUCUCUGUCUCUUAUAAUAAAUCAAUUAAACUGAUCUCCUAGUAAAAAAGCUAGAAUAUACACACAAGACCAGAAGACCCUGUGAAGCUUUAACUAACCUAUUAAACCCUAUAAUACCUACUUUCGGUUGGGGCGACCUUGGAAAAAACAGAACUUCCAAACAUAUGACCAUAACUCAUACCUCGGCCUACAAGCCUAACUUAGACCCAGUAUAGCUGACAAUUGAACCAAGUUACUCCAGGGAUAACAGCGCCAUCUUCUUUAAGAGUCCAUAUCAAAAAGAAGGUUUACGACCUCGAUGUUGGAUCAGGACAUCCUAAUGGUGCAGCCGCUAUUAAAGGUUCGUUUGUUCAACGAUUAACAGUCCUACG